rnacentral:lncRNA from 1 species
GAAAAAAUAUACUCUCCCAUGUUAGAAGAUAAAGUAAAUUACAAAUUAUAAUCCAUGUUACUGUUCCCAGCCAUGCUAUGUGUGAACACCCCCUCCAACUUAUCCAAAAGAGUAUGAUAUAGGGGGUGUUUGGCCUAGCUUUUAAAAAGCGCUUUUGGGCUGAAAAGUGAUUUUCGGCUCAAUAGAGCGUUUGGUAACUCACUUUUAAAAUCUGAUUCUGCUUUUUAGAAUCAGAAAACUGAUUUUGAAGACCUCAGAAUCAGAAGCAGAAAAAAGCUGCUUCUUGAAAACUGAUUCUGAUUUUGGAUUUAAACUUCAAAAUUUUAUUUUUAUUUUAGUUUUAAUAAUUAAAUUUAAUUUUAAUUUUCAGAUUCAUUUUAAAAUUUUUAAAUUUUAACUUUUAAAUUUUAAAAUUUGAAAUAUAGAUUUAAAAUUUUAAAUUUUAAUUUUAAAUUUCAAAUCUCAAAUUUUAGAUUUUAAAAUUUAAAAUUUUAUUUCAAAUUUCAAAUUCCAAAUUUCAAAUUUCAGAUUUUAAAAUUUUAAAUUUCAAAUUUCAAAUUUCAGAUUUUAAAAUUUCAAAUUUCAAAUUUCAAAUUUUAAAUUUCAAAUUUCAAAUUUUAAAUUUCAAAUUUGACAAUUUAGAUUUUAAAAUUUAAAUGUAAAAAUUUAAAAUUUUUAAAUUUUAAAUUAUAAAUUUUAAUCUUCAAAUUAUAAAUUUCAAAUUUUUAAAAUUAAAAAUUUAUAAAUUUUAAUCUUCAAAUUAUAAAUUUAAAAUUUUAUAAUUUAAAAUUUAAAAUUUUAAUUUUUAAAUUUUAAAUAUUCAAAUUUUAAAUUUUAAAUUUUAAAUAUUCAAAUUUUAAAUUUUAUAUUUUAAAUAUUCAAAUUUUAUAUUUUAUAUUUUAAAUUUCAUAAUUAUUUUAAAUUUUAAAUUUUAAUUUUAAAAUUUAAAUUUUAAUUUUUAAAUAUAUUUUUAAAAUUAAAUAGCUUUUCAAACAGCUUUUCAAAAUUUUUAAUUUACCAAACAGCUUUUUAAAAUCACUUCAGAAAAAAUCACUUUUAUCUAAACUCCGCCAAACGCUCUAUAGCUUUUAAGCAAAAUCACUUCUCCAAACCAAAAUUACUUUUUCAGAAAUCACUUUUUCAGAAGUUAGGCCAAACAGGCCCAUACUAUGUGCCCCAAAAUUUAAAGAAAAUUAAAAUACUUUGCUUUUUCAGUUUUUUAAUCACAU